UACGUAGGGCGCAAGCGUUAUCCGGAAUUACUGGGCGUAAAGGGCGCGUAGGCGGCCUUCUAAGUCGAACGUGAAAUCCCCGGGCUCAACCCGGGAACUGCGUCCGAUACUGGAAGGCUUGAAUCCGGGAGAGGGAUGCGGAAUUCCAGGUGUAGCGGUGAAAUGCGUAGAUAUCUGGAGGAACACCGGUGGCGAAGGCGCAUCCUGGACCGGCAUUGACGCUGAGGCGCGAAAGCCAGGGGAGCAAACGGG
rnacentral:rRNA from 1 species